CAUUGGGAUUGUUCGUCGUCGGUGGAGUUUCUUUUUCACAACUGCGUAAUCAACUAGACUGGGAUAUUGGCGCAUGGUAUCAACUUUAUUACGGAGCUUUCUUGUUUGCCGGUUUGUCUUUUGGAAAUGGUUUUAUAACAAGCUUGAUCCUUAAAGCAGAACAUGAACAACGCUACGAAGAUUUAAAGAACCGGGUUAAAACAUAUAGUUUAGUGCUAUGGACAUCAUUUGCCUGGUUAUGUGUAGGUUGGGUAUUUGUUGGAGGUUUCAUUCGUAAUGCACACGUGUUUGAAGAUUGUGAAGAGAUUACUGGAAACAAAACUGUAGCUAAAAGCAAUAAAGAAAUCUGCCUACGAGAUUAUAACGGGAUAACGUUUGCUUGUAUUGUUUUAUUUGUCUUCUUUUUCCUAAAUUUGUUACGUUCAUGUGGGUCUGGAACCGAACAAAUGGGCAAUACAAAUAUGAGACGUUAUACACAACAGUCUGAAGAUGUGAAUAGGAGAGUGGCUUCUGCAUCCGCCAACAA